CCUACGGGAGGCAGCAGUGGGGAAUAUUUCACAAUGUGGGAAACCCUGAUGCAGCGACGCCGCGUGAGUGAAGAAGUAAUUCGUUACGUACAGCUCUAUCAGCAGGGAAGAAACACUGACCUUACGGUCAGCAGACGGUCCCUGAGUAAGAAGCCCCGGCUAACUACGUGCCAGCAGCCGCGGUAAUACGUAGGGGGCAAGCGUUAUCCGGAUUUACUGGGUGUAAAGGGAGCGUAGGCGGUGCGCCAAGUCUGUGGUGAAAUGCCGCAGCUUAACUGUGGAACUGCUUUGGAACCGGGCGAACUAGAGUGCGGGAGGGGUAAGCGGAAGUUCUAGUGUAGCGGUGAAAUGCGUAGAGAGUAGGAGGAACACCGGUGGCGAAGGCGGCUUACUGGACCGUAACUGACGUUGAGGCGCGAAAGCGGGGGGAGCAAACAGGAUUAGAUACCCGGGUAGUC
rnacentral:rRNA from 1 species